UGCGGCUUAAUUUGACUCAACACGGGAAACCUCACCCGCCCCCGGACACGGACAGGAUUGACAGAUUGAGAGCUCUUUCUCGAUUCCGUGGGUGGUGGUGCAUGGCCGUUCUAGUUGGUGAGCGAUUUGUCUGGUUAAUUCCGAUAACGACAGACUCUGCAUGCUAACUAGACCCCGCUCGCGCAAUUGACACAGUUCGUGACGUUACCAUUGGAUGUUUAGGAGGUCCUCG
rnacentral:ncRNA from 1 species